AACGAACGCUGGCGGCAGGCUUAACACAUGCAAGUCGAGCGCCCCGCAAGGGGAGCGGCAGACGGGUGAGUAACGCGUGGGAAUCUACCCAUCUCUACGGAAUAACGCAUGGAAACGUGUGCUAAUACCGUAUACGUCCUUCGGGAGAAAGAUUUAUCGGAGAUGGAUGAGCCCGCGUUGGAUUAGCUAGUUGGUGGGGUAAAGGCCUACCAAGGCGACGAUCCAUAGCUGGUCUGAGAGGAUGAUCAGCCACACUGGGACUGAGACACGGCCCAGACUCCCACGGGAGGCAGCAGUGGGGAAUCUUGGACAAUGGGCGCAAGCCUGAUCCAGCCAUGCCGCGUGAGUGAAGAAGGCCUUAGGGUUGUAAAGCUCUUUUACCAGGGACGAUAAUGACGGUACCUGGAGAAUAAGCCCCGGCAAACUUCGUGCCAGCCGCCGCAGUAAAAC
rnacentral:rRNA from 1 species